ACACAUGCAAGUCGAGGGGUAGAGUUAGCUUGCUAACUUGAGACCGGCGCACGGGUGCGUAACGCGUAUGCAAUCUACCUUAUACAGGGGAAUAGCCCAGAGAAAUUUGGAUUAAUGCCCCAUAGUAUUAUUGAAUGGCAUCAUUUGAUAAUUAAAGUUCCAACGGUAUAAGAUGAGCAUGCGUCCCAUUAGUUAGUUGGUAAGGUAACGGCUUACCAAGACUAUGAUGGGUAGGGGUCCUGAGAGGGAGAUCCCCCACACUGGUACUGAGACACGGACCAGACUCCUACGGGAGGCAGCAGUGAGGAAUAUUGGACAAUGGGCGCAAGCCUGAUCCAGCCAUGCCGCGUGCAGGAAGACGGUCCUAUGGAUUGUAAACUGCUUUUAUACAGGAAGAAACACCGCUACGUGUAGCGGCUUGACGGUACUGUAAGAAUAAGGAUCGGCUAACUCCGUGCCAGCAGCCGCGGUAAUACGGAGGAUCCAAGCGUUAUCCGGAAUCAUUGGGUUUAAAGGGUCCGUAGGCGGCCUUAUAAGUCAGUGGUGAAAUCUCCUAGCUCAACUAGGAAACUGCCAUUGAUACUGUAGGGCUUGAAUUAUUAGGAAGUAACUAGAAUAUGUAGUGUAGCGGUGAAAUGCUUAGAUAUUACAUGGAAUACCAAUUGCGAAGGCAGGUUACUACUAAUGGAUUGACGCUGAUGGACGAAAGCGUGGGUAGCGAACAGGAUUAGAUACCCUGGUAGUCCACGCCGUAAACGAUGGAUACUAGCUGUUCGGAGCAAUCUGAGUGGCUAAGCGAAAGUGAUAAGUAUCCCACCUGGGGAG
rnacentral:rRNA from 1 species